UACAGAGGGUGCGAGCGUUAAUCGGAAUUACUGGGCGUAAUGCGCGCGUAGGCAGCUUUGCAAGUCGGGUGUGAAAUCCCCAAGCUCAACUUGGGAACUGCAUUCGAGACUGCUUUGCUAGAGUAUGGGAGAGGGAAGUGGAAUUUCAGAUGUGGCGGUGAAAUGCGUAGAUAUCUGAAGGAACAUCAGUGGCGAAAGCGACUUCCUGGACCAAUACUGACGCUCAUGUGUGAAAGCGUGGGGAGCAAACAGG
rnacentral:rRNA from 1 species